rnacentral:sRNA from 1 species
AGAAUGUUUGACUUUAAAGUACCUGAGCACCGAAUAAUGUUACCAAGAUGUUGGACAAUGGCUGUUCCAGCCUAACCCAUUAAAACAGUACCAAUCAAAGAAACAAACUAUUCUACCUGUAUCCGUGGAGGUCAGCUCUAACUGGACACAUACAAGAGGUCUAUUUAAACUGGAGUCAUACAGCUGCAACCUCCCAGGAGAUCUGUUCUAAUGCAUCAGGCCAACCAACCUUAGAAACAACUAGAUGUCAGAAGGCAAUGUCAAAAGCUUAACCAAAAACCAGUAUAUCCACCAACAUAGGAGAACAUAUACUAACCAGGAGCUGAGCUGACUGUUGUGACCAA